CACGCAGGUGGCGAGAUAAGUUGGAUGUGAAAUUCCCGUGCUUAACAUGGGGACUGCAUCCAAAACUGUUGAACUGGAGUACUGUAGAGGGAGGUAGAAUUCCACGUGUAGCGGUGAAAUGCGUAGAUAUGUGGAGGAACACCGGUGGCGAAGGCGGAUCUCUGGGCCUUACCUGACGCUCAGGCGCGAAAGCUAGGGGAGCAAACA
rnacentral:rRNA from 1 species